AGAGUUUGAUCCUGGCUCAGAGCGAACGCUGGCGGCAGGCCUAAUACAUGCAAGUCGAACGCCCCUUCGGGGGAGUGGCGGACGGGUGAGUAACGCGUGGGAACGUGCCCUUUGGUACGGAACAACUGAGGGAAACUUCAGCUAAUACCGUAUGUGCCCUUCGGGGGAAAGAUUUAUCGCCAUUGGAGCGGCCCGCGUUGGAUUAGCUAGNUGGUGGGGUAAAGGCCCACCAAGGCGACGAUCCAUAGCUGGUCUGAGAGGAUGACCAGCCACACUGGGACUGAGACACGGCCCAGACUCCUACGGGAGGCAGCAGUAGGGAAUCUUGGGCANUGGGCGAAAGCCUGACCCAGCCAUGCCGCGUGAAUGAUGAAGGUCUUAGGAUUGUAAAAUUCUUUCACCGGGGACGAUAAUGACGGUACCCGGAGAAGAAGCCCCGGCUAACUUCGUGCCAGCAGCCGCGGUAAUACGAAAGGGGCUAGCGUUGCUCGGAAUUACUGGGCGUAA
rnacentral:rRNA from 1 species